AUUGAACGCUGGCGGCAGGCCUAACACAUGCAAGUCGAACGAGUGGCGGACGGGUGAGUAAUGUCUGGGAAACUGCCUGAUGGAGGGGGAUAACUACUGGAAACGGUAGCUAAUACCGCAUACCAUCAGAUGUGCCCAGAUUGGAUUAGCUAGUUGGUGGGUGAAAGGCUCACCAGGGCCACGAUCCCCAGCUGGUCUGAGAGGAUGACCAGCCACACUGGAACUUGGACACGGUCCAGACUCCUACGGGAGGAAGUAGUGGUGAAUAUUGCACAAUGGGCGCAAGCCUGAGGCAGCCAUGCCGCGUGUAUGAAGAAGGCCUUCGGGUUGUAAAGUACUUUCAGCGUGGAGGCGUUACCCGCAGAAGAAGCACCGGCUAACUCCGUGCCAGCAGCAGCGGUAAUAC
rnacentral:rRNA from 1 species